UACGGAGGGUGCGAGCGUUGUCCGGAAUCACUGGGCGUAAAGGGCGCGUAGGUGGCGCGGGCAGUCAACGGUGAAAGUUCGGGGCUCAACCCUGAAUCGGCCGUCGAUACUCCCGGGCUUGAGCACUGUAGAGGCAGAUGGAAUUCCGGGUGUAGCGGUGGAAUGCGUAGAGAUCCGGAAGAACACCGGUGGCGAAGGCGGCCUGCUGGGCUAUGGCUGACACUGAGGCGCGACAGCGUGGGGAGCAAACAGG
rnacentral:rRNA from 1 species